UGUUUGGGUAUUAGCUGCACUCAACCAGAGAAACUUCAAUUUGUUCCGCUAGCAGCAAAGAACACUUCAGAUUCAUUCACUGCUAAAAGCCACAGCCAUGGAGGCAUCUUUUGAUCUGCAGAGGAAAAGCUUAAGCCUGAAAAUCAGUAACAUCGUAAAGAAAAUGACACAAAGAAGGGCAAAACAAAGUAGAAAACACUGCUGUUUGACUGGAGAAACACAUGCACUUUCUUCUUAAGAUCUACCAUCGCAAAACCCCAAAGGACAUGGACAGAACACCUGCAAGUCUGCAUCCAGUUCAUUUUUCAGCAGCAAAGCACCAGUUCAUACUUCCCUUGCCACUCUUCAUGAACAUACAUUUUAAGUGACAGAAAAAAACAAAAAUGCUGAUUUUGCACAAGAAAAAGUUGUAGUUCAAUUAAAACUAGUAUCUGCUUAGAAUCCAUAAGGAGAACGUUAAAAUCUUUAAAUGUACAGUUAAUUUUACUGGGCAAACAUGUACAGUAUCUGGCAACAUAUCAAGGAAUAUAAUGAGGCAGAUUACAGUGUAAUGAAAAGAAGCAACUAAAUGGAAUGUCAAAUUAUUCUCACAGCUGAUAAGCCCAAGUUGCUGGCCUGUCUAACAUUCUCAUGAGAGCCUCACAAGUUCUGCAAAUACAGAUUGAAUAAAUGUGGCUAACACUUCAAGAAAUUAUGCUAGGCAAUCUUGCCCACAACAUGGUGCAUUCUUGUGAUAGAAUUACCACACUGUCAAAUUACUAUUAACAACAUCUAAGAGAAAAAAACAUUUAUUUUUAUACCACGUUUUUCAACAAACAAUGUACUGUAGCUCAAAGCGCUUUUCAAGAGGACAAAAAAGUAGUUAUAUGCAAAGAAAAAUAAAUUAAAAUUAGAUAUGAAAAACAAUACAUAAGAUUCAAUAUAAGACAAAAAACAAUAAGAACCAAUGAAUGCUUUAAUUAACUGUUAAUUAGUAAUUAAGACACUACAAACACUUCAAAAUCAUAACCUAAACAAACAAGUUGCAAGCGAUAUUUGACUAUGUGCCAUACAGUUUGAUGAAAUGUGACGAACUGCUUUAUUUUAUCAGGUUAUUCUAUAAAUAGUUGAUAAAAUGAUAAUCAUCCAUACUUUACAAUAUUUAACUGCAUUUCUGAAUUUGAGUUCAACAAUAUUAAUGGACAGAUAUUGUUAUGUUCAAUUUAUACUAUUAUUUAAACAAUUCUGUACCCUUAUUUGUAUGCAUUAUUUAUUAAUUAAUUUGCAAAGUGGCAAUUGCCUUUUACUUAUGAAAUGAGCCUACAUACAUGGAAAAGUAAUAUACAAAAAUAAAUAAAACCUGAAUAUUCA